CCUACGGGAGGCAGCAGUGAGGAAUAUUGGUCAAUGGGCGUAAGCCUGAACCAGCCAAGUCGCGUGAGGGAUGAAGGUUCUAUGGAUCGUAAACCUCUUUUAUAAGGGAAUAAAGUGCGGGACGUGUCCCGUUUUGUAUGUACCUUAUGAAUAAGGAUCGGCUAACACCGUGCCAGCAGCCGCGGGAAUACGGAGGAUCGGAGCUUUAUCCGGUUUUGUUGGGUUUAAAGGGGGCGUAGGCGGCCUUUUAAGUCAGCGGGGAAAGUCUGUGGCUCAACCAUAGAAUUGCCGUUGAAACUGGGAGGCUUGAGUAUGUUUGAGGCAGGCGGAAUGCGUGGUGUAGCGGUGAAAUGCUUAGAUAUCACGCAGAACCCCGAUUGCGAAGGCAGCCUGCCAAGCCAUGACUGACGCUGAUGCACGAAAGCGUGGGGAUCAAACAGGAUUAGAUACCCCUGUAGUC
rnacentral:rRNA from 1 species